rnacentral:tRNA from 1 species
UUCCUGUUCGUAUAACGGCUAGUAUGCUCGCUUGUCACGUAUGAUCGCGGGAGAUCGGAGUUCGAUUCUCCGACAGGAAG